UAAUAACUAAUAAACCUUUGCAAAGCCCUGGAUUUUGGACCUCACCCACUGUGACCCUGAGGUUUCUCUCUCUUCCACCGCCAGCAAGCUGAAAACACAGACACUGCAAAAAGGGAAAGGGGAAAAAGACAAGUUAAGGAGGAAAGCUUGAAACUUUAUUAACAAAAGAGCAAAGGAAAUGAAGGAAUAGAAGGUGGGAGAUAAAGAGCUUUUUGUCACUCUCUACUUCUUCUGCUACAGCUUUCCAUUUUCGUCCUCUCAUGGCUAAGGUACAUUGCAAAGACAUUAUAUGGUGAUGAUGAGGAAGAAGAAACUCCUCAAGAUACUAAUGAUACUAAUGUUGAUGAAACAAAACUGCUUGAUGUUCAUCCAACUUCCGAAGAGAAGGUUGUUUUGAAGAAAGGUCCAUAUGGAUUCUAUGUACAGCUUGGUGAAGACAGGACAGCAUCUGCUUGGAUGGGUCCAACUUGUUCUUGGAAAUACACUUGGUGCCAUGCUAUCAAUUGUAAUUAGCAAACAAGUAUUAAAUGGACAGAAUUGUUCUUUUUUUUAGAUAAAAGAUGUGGAUGCUAUUGCUCUUGAAGUUGCUCUCGACUUGCUACGCUUCCCGCGGACAUUGGGUGACCAUCCAAAGGACAGGAAUCCUGUGAUACUAAAGAUCGGAAGGGUCGGAUAGAUGGUUAAAAAACAUCAAACAAUGGCUUCUGUUCCCAAGGUAUGUCUUGUUUAGCAUUUCUUUGUGUUUGUAUUGAGUAGUGAUUUGCAUAUGUUACUACAAUCUAGCCUAAUUUCUCAUCCAUGUUGGCAAGCAUAGUUUGCAUGAAGUUGGAGGAGAAAAAUGGAAUGUAAAGAGUCACCCCAAAUGGAUUGCGCCCCCCCCCCCUCCCCACCCCGCGGGGGGAACCCUAAGGGGAUUAGCAUUGUAGCGAAUUACACUUUUAAGUUAGUGUGAGAUAAGGGCAACCGAGGAUCAUUGCAUAUUAAGGGGGACGUAUCAUUUUUGUGAACCGUUAUGGCUCCUGUCUACCUCAAGGUCAAUCACUGCUUAUGAUCACAGCGAAGUUGGGGAAUACCGGUGCAAUUGGGGAGGGAGACUAUAAACAGUAGUUAUUUGCAUGAAAUGAUUGCUUGUAAGUGAUGAAGAUAAAACACUAUUAAUUUCUUAAACCAAAACCCUUUUUUUAUAGCACUACAUCCACGGUAUCUCUUUACCAUUUCCCCUUGAUGGAUCUAUGUUAAAAAAACCUUCUCUUUUAUUGCACUCCAUACAAAGUGCCUCUUUGCAUUUAUUUGAAACAUAUGCAGAAUGUUAUUUGAAACAUUGCCAGAGGACGUCACACUGGAGAAAGCUAUGGAGCUUUUAUCGGGUAAAAAUGUUGGUCGAUCCGGCCAACCUAAGAGCAAAUCGAAAGUCAAAGAAGCUGUUGAGGCUAGGGAGAGUGGAGUUGGUAAAUAGUAAAUACAUGGAAUCAUUUUUGGCUAACACCUUGACACAAUGAAUGGAUCAAUGAAUCUGUUGAACGAAGGCAGCUUUUUAGUUUCAACAGAAGAAAGCAUUGCUCUUCUGAGAAGGGUUCCAGCCCCUGUAUGGACAAAAGAGAGAUUCUUCUUACAAUAUAAUUUUGUACAGCAGUGUAAGAAUAUGCAAGUAUAUUGUAAGGUAGCAAUUGAAAUGUCUUGUUGGGGUUUUUUAGGACAGUCUGGUUGCCGGUUUCACAAUAUUCAACAGACUGGCCAUUGCUUAAAAUCUUGGAAAGCUGCUGUGUGGUAAUUUAAGUUUAGAAAUGAUGCACUCACCAUGGAAAUUCUUCUUCUGAAUAUUUUUUUUGGGGCAUGUUUAUAUUUAUGCGUUAUAUUAUUUAA